GAAAUGCGAUAAGUAGUGUGAAUUGCAGAAUUCAGUGAAUCAUCGAAUCUUUGAACGCACAUUGCGCCCCUUGGUAUUCCAUGGGGCAUGCCUGUUCGAGCGUCAUUUGUACCUUCAAGCUUUGCUUGGUGUUGGGUGUUUGUCUCGCCUCUGCGCGCAGACUCGCCUCAAAACAAUUGGCAGCCGGCGUAUUGAUUUCGGAGCGCAGUACAUCUCGCGCUUUGCACUCAUAACGACGACGUCCAAAAAGUACAUUUUUUACACUCUUGACCUCGGAUCAGGAAGGGAUACCCGCUGAACUUAAGC
rnacentral:misc_RNA from 1 species